CCUGUGUAUGUUAGCCAGUGUCUAGCUGUGAGCCUGUGUGUAUUGUAUUAUAUUGUAUUUUAUGUGUGUUCAACACGUAUUUACCUGGAAGGUCAAUCCCAGAAGAUAUAAGUGAGUCUGUGACUGUGUAUGUGAGUCUGUGAGUUGCCUGUGAUUGUGUCAAUGACACGCAUUUGCCUGGAAGUGUAUUCCCAGAAGUAUAUGUGUAUGUAAGCCGGUGACUGUGUGUUUAAGUACGUAUUUGCCUGGAGGUGUAUUCCCAGAAGUACAUGUAUAGUGCCAUUUCGUGACGUGGACGAGCCGACGAGUUCCCUCGAAGACGACGAGGACGUUUGGUGCCAUCCUGACGAGGAUUCCAGUCGAUGCCAACACAUAUGUCUGAUACUAAUAAGUCAGAGUCUCAGGAUUGGGAAGAGUUUGACUUGGAGUCUGACAGUGAGCGUUCGGAGUCUGACAGUGAGCGUGUAUCAUCGCAGCCAGGUCAAUUUACACAAGACCGAGCUGCAAUAGCUGAAAAGUUGAAGCUUCCGCAUCAGAGAACCACAAGAAGCUGCCGUUUGUGAAUGCGGCCCUGAUAGAGGAGAUUGAGGCAAAGAAGCUGAAGGCAGCGGGAGGAAAAGAAAAGAAAUCAGGAAGAAAUCGCCAUAGGCGAUACCUGAAUAUAAGAUUUUUUAAACCAUUGGAUAGGUUUGUUAGUCACCUAUCUUAGGAAAAAUACUUACAGAUACAUUGAAGUUCAAAUAACUAGUGUUAGGUCUUAUUUAAAUAAGAAGAAUUUUGGUUUUUGAACCUUUUUAAUGAAGCAAAUGAUUUUACUUUUGUUAAACAUGUGUGACAGUGAACUAUUGUCUUCAUGUUAACCUUAUUUAAGUAUUGGCUGUUGUUCUUGUGUUGUAUUUAUAAUUUGAGGACUUAUUUUACCUAAUGGACAAUUUAUUUUAAUUGAGUGAACAACAUAUAAAACUUGUCAAAACUAUUGAAAGCUCCCAUAAGAAUUUCACCGUUUUGUAGUGACCACUAUGUCUGCUCAUGACACUGUCGGUCUGACAUGUGAGAGUGCAGUUGAAGUAAAUUGAUUCAUCAGUCGUCAUUUAUGAAAAAUUUCAAUCUUUGGGAUUAGUUUUUGCCUAUAUGCUUCCUUUGACUGACAAAAAAAACCCACAUCAACAAUGUUUUUUUUUUUUUUUAUUUGAACAACCCGUCAUCGUGAUUGGGAGGCAUGUGUCAUUUUAAUUCAUCAUUAUGUAAUGUCGGGUAAUUGGACAUUUCACAAGUAUUUAUAUAUUGUGUAUGCACAACAAAUAUAAAUUGUGUCAACAAAUUAUGUGUUAGUUUCACAUUAGUUAUCAUUGAAAAUAAAACCUUAAAGA